GAAAUGCGAUAAGUAAUGUGAAUUGCAGAAUUCCGUGAAUCAUCGAAUCUUUGUACGCACAUUGCGCCCUCUGGCAUUCCGGGGGGCAUGCCUGUCCGAGCGUCAUUACGCACCCUCAAGCCCGGCUUGUGUGAUGGGCCCCGGCGUCUCGUUCGCGAGACGGGCCCGAAAGGCAGCGGCGGCGUCGACCCGAUGAGCCCGAGCGUAUGGGGACUUCUGUCACACGUUCGCGGUGCGGACCGGCGCCUGCUUUGACUUUUCUGAUUAUCCAGGUUGACCUCGGAUCAGGUAGGGAUACCCGCUGAACUUAAGC
rnacentral:misc_RNA from 1 species